UACGGUGGCAAGAGCAAGAAGGAAACACCUGUAACCAUGCCGAACACAGAAGUUAAGCUUCUUAACGCCGAGAGUAGUUGGUGGGAGACUGCCUGCGAGGGUAGGACGUUGCCGUGCUU
rnacentral:rRNA from 1 species